rnacentral:rRNA from 1 species
AGAGUUUGAUCAUGGCUCAGGAUGAACGCUAGCUACAGGCUUAACACAUGCAAGUCGAGGGGAAACGACAUCGAAAGCUUGCUUUUGAUGGGCGUCGACCGGCGCACGGGUGAGUAACGCGUAUCCAACCUGCCCACCACUUGGGGAUAACCUUGCGAAAGUAAGACUAAUACCCAAUGACGUCUCUAGAAGACAUCUGAAAGAGAUUAAAGAUUUAUCGGUGAUGGAUGGGGAUGCGUCUGAUUAGCUUGUUGGCGGGGUAACGGCCACCAAGGCUACGAUCAGUAGGGGUUCUGAGAGGAAGGUCCCCCACAUUGGAACUGAGACACGGUCCAAAACUCCUACGGGAGACA